AACUGGAUGUGUGCAGCCCAGCCCUUUCAUUUCUUAUUUUUUACUCUGCCUGUCAUACAAUGAUACAUUGUGAUCUCAAAGCUCAAACUCUUCUGCAGUAUCUCUCAAUCCAUGUAAGGAAUUCUGGAGAGGAAGGUGGCAGCAUUACUAAUCAGAUGUUUGACUGGGAAAUGUAAAGAGAUAGUCAUUACAUGGACAUCUGGAGAAAAAAACAGCACAUGGAAGUAUCAAGUGUUCUGGGGCCGCCCAGGCAGAGGGAAACAAGAGCUAGACUACCUGCUCGUGAUCCCAGGAGGCUAAUGGAACAGUGAUGUAUCGCGGUUCCUGCCUCGUGAAUUUGGAAGCAGGAUUCUGCUCCUAGGAAAAGAUGAGAAUAGAGCUCCAGUCUAUUCUUGCUGCAGUAAUUUGAAAAUUAUGGGACCAUCAAUCUGUUGUGAAUGCUGUCUACAGCAGAUCUUAUCUCUCAGAAUUAUCAAACUGAGCUGAUCCAAAGGCUUGACAUAAAUUACAUGUUAAACGUAUAGUAAGUUGUUUCAGACUUUUAAUUUCUGUUCUCUUUUUUCAUUCAUGACACUAAUUUCACAACUGUAAAUUUUUUAAUAUAAAGUCUGAAGGGUCAAUGUGAAAAACUGGUAUCGCAAUCUGGCUCAAACUUCUGCUACAAUGUGAGAGUAUUUUUAAAAUGUGGUAUUAUGAGUAAUCGAUAAUAAUAGUCAUAGCCCUAGUAGAAUUCAUUUCAUCUCAAAGAAUUGCCCUAAGCAUUUCAUUAGAAUUUUGCCUCUAUCACUGUAUUUUAGCCACUCACAUUAGAUCAUUUUCAUUAUGAAAGAGUUUAUAAAAUUCAAAAAAGUGUCUUUAUAACCAUAUCAGAUAAGAUCAAUUUAAUUUUAGGUUACCAAUUUUGUAAGAAUCCUGACAGCUCAAUGUU
rnacentral:lncRNA from 1 species